GCGCGAUUAGCUCAGAGGAUAGAGCAUGAGACUAAGAAUCUCAGGGUCGUUGGUUCGAAUCCAACAUCGCGAA
rnacentral:tRNA from 1 species